rnacentral:lncRNA from 1 species
AUCUGUCUCCUGAACCAUCUUCUUCUUCCUCUUUUUGAGGAAGCAACAGAGAGCAACUGAGAGGAAUGCAAGGAAGAAUAGACCACCCAAUGAGACGAACACAAUGAUUAUGACUGUGGGAUGGCUGUCUGGUGAUGGUGAAGGUGGUGGUGGAAGUACAUGAGGUGGAGGUGGUGGGCGUGUAUGAGGUGGUGGUGGUGGGCGUGUAUGAGGAGGCGGUGGUGGAUUUAUAUGAGGAGGUGGAGGUGGUGGACGUCUAUGAGGUGGUGGUGGUGGGCGUGUAUGAGGAGGCGGUGGUGGAUUUAUAUGAGGAGGUGGAGGUGGUGGGCGUGUAUGAGGUGGUGGUGGUGGGCGUGUAUGAGGAGGCGGUGGUGGAUUUAUAUGAGGAGGUGGAGGUGGUGGACGUCUAUGAGGAGGUGGUGGAGGAGGAGAAAAAGGUGGGAAGUUGUAGUAAUUGAUCUGGGAAGAAGUCAUUGAGGUGAUAUGGAUAGUGGAAACUUUGAAGAAGAUGGUUAGAAUGGUUAUGGUUGUGGUUGUGGAGAAGAUGGGAGCAUUGGAAGCCUAUUUGUAGUGAGGUUUUGGUUUAUUUUGUGAAGUAGAAUUGUUUUGAAGUUACAGUGACUUGACUCUCAUGUUAAGAUUCGGAAUAGGUUGUCAUAGUUUGCAUUGGAAAACACUACUAAAAAAUCUUGCUUGUUUCCCUUCAGAGUCUUGUGUUCCAUUCACAAGAUACAGGAUUUUGGGGGGACGUUAAAGAGAACUCUAUAAAUACUGUAUCUGCAACUCAGGCUUGGUAAGAAUGUCAAAACAAUGGAAGAAGUAUCUGUUUUGGGUAUCAACUAUUCUUUUUCCUUUCAUUUUGGACAUAAAUAAAAAAAUAAAAAAAAUAAAAAUAGAAGCAAGACCAAUUGUUUGCAUUGGAAAACACCCUAAGUGUGUAGAAGGCCUGCUAUUUUUUUGGAUCUAUUUUCAUCUUCCAAAGAUUCAUAGCCCAAUCCUCACGUCUUUCCUCAAGGCAUCUUUGUUCGCUAGAAAAUUCGCCAGAAAAUACAAUAAAAGAAAAUAGUGAAGAAAAAUAGAAAAAAAAACUCGUAAAAAAAUGUAAUAUAUAAAUUUAAAAAUUAACAAAUUAUUUUUAUAUGUUACUUCAAAUUCAUUUAACUUAUUUUAAUUUAUAUCAAUAUCAAAAUUAAAUAUUUUUAAAAUAUAAAUUUUUUAAUUUAUUUUAAUUAUAUUUGAUUUUCUCAUAUUUUUCAUGGAACAAUUAAAUAUAAAAAAUUAUUUCCAAAAUUUUUUUCUUCGGUACUUUCUAACAACUAAAUAUAACCUAAGUUUAUUAAGAAUAAUAAGUUUAUAUUGUUCCUUACAAGUUAAAUUAACCCGUAACUAAUAUCAAAUUGUUCAAAUUUGUCACUAAGAGAUGCCUUUUAAAUGGCUCUAAUUUAAAAGUGAACCAAAUGCGUUAGGUCUAUAAUAAAAUAAAAUAAAUAAAAUAAAAAAAUUCUUAAAAGGGGCAGUUCUAAAAGCAUUGAACGUCCAUUCUACACUGAUCUAGUCAUGUUGAAAGUUGUCUUCCACAAUUUCCAUUAUACAUUGAAAUAAAAAUAAAAAAAUUAAAUUUAUAAGAAGUGUUUUUUUCUCUCUAUAAAUAACACUUUUAUGAGAAUAUGAAAAAGUAAUUUUAAUAGUGUUUUUUAAAAUGUCUCUGUGGACCCUGCAUUUCGGCUCAAUGCGUUUCCCACUCGAAUGGCGAGCUCGAUUUUUAUUUUGAACAAUGAAUUAAUUGGUUAAAAAAAAAUGACUUGGAGUCGCCAGUUAUUUUUGUUUUAUUUUUUAAGGGUAAACAAAAUAAGAAAGAAAAACCCUAAGUCUGACUCUUUAUUUGGAAAAGGUAAUCUGCGAAAAAUCGGAUCGGGUUCAGGGGUCAGGUUACUUAUCGGGAAGGUACGGUAAAGACCGUAGCAUCCCUCUAAGUCUCUAAAACGGGUCUCUACUAAUAAAAUGAAGCUGACAUGACAAUUGAUGAGGGAAUCAAUGAAUACUUAGGAUGAUCAUGCACAUGUGAGAACCUAAACAUGCAUACAAAAAAUGACCCGAGCGGAUGUAGAUGCGUACCUGGGCAGCGAUCCAAUAAAACGCUAUCAAGAAGUGAGGUUAGUGCAUAGUUAAGGAAUAAUCGCAUGUAUGUUAGAGAGCAGGAUAAAUCAAUUAUACAUGGCAAUUAAGUCAAUCAGUCGAUCAAUCAAUCGAUCAGUCACAUAUGUGGGGCCCCCACCAAAGCUCGUUUUAUCUUGCCUGGAUCAAUUCUGAUAACUCCAUUGUUCGGAAUUACGAAAUUCGACCCCUUGCUUAUUUCAAAACAUUUUAAAAACAGAGGAAGUAUGAAAAUUGCUUGCCAGAAAUAAAAGCGGCAACAAAGCUUUAUUAAAAAUGUGAUUUUGGAACCUAAAGAAAAUGCUCUAAGGAUGAAGAAAAAGGUGGAACGUCGGCUGGAUAGAAUUCCGGAUGUGACACAUCCAAAGAAGGUGGAAUGUCGGAGAAGAAUUCCGGGAGUGAGACACCCGGAUGGAAUGGCGGCGGGGAGGAAUUCCGGGAGCGAGACACCCGGAUGGAAUGGCGGCAGGGAGGAAUUCCGAGAGUGAGACACCGGGAUGGAAAGGCGACGGAGAGGAAUUCUGGGAGUGAGACACCCGGAUGGAAUGGCGGCGGGGAGGAAUUCCGGGAGUGAGACACCUUGAUGGAAUGGAGGCGGGGAGGAAUUCCGGGUGAGACACCCAGGGGAAUGGCGGCGGGGAAGGAAUUCCGAGUGUGAGACAUCCGGAUGGAAAGGCGGCGGAGAGGAAUUCCGGGUGUGAGACAUCCGGAUGAGGUAGAACGUUGUCAUGAGUAGCACGAAGGAUAGGUAUGGGUUGUAUAGAUAUGGAGGCUUGGGUGAGUGGUUUUAAUGGGUAUGCGAAAGAGUGAAGGAUAGCAUGCACCCGGGAGACUCCAUGUAAGUGAGGGAGUGGGAUGGGGAAUGAAUGAGAGGAAGAUGGGUGUGGUGGAGGAUGCUUGAUUCCUACAAGCUUGGGUGAGGAAAUGGGUAUGACGACCUAGAGAGAGAGGUAGAUAGAUGAACAAUGAGGACGUAGGCAUAUUGGAUAAAACGAUGAAUAAUAAACGAAAAUGGGCAUGGGGAUGCUGAUGAGGUGAGCUUUGCCACCAUGACAACUACUCCAGAUUUUCUAGGAUCUCUUUCGAGUAGGGAUGAGAAAAUGGAUGCAUACCAUGGACGGAUAUAAAAAAACAAGGGAAGUAGAGAAACAGAGCGUGAAAGAAGAUGAAUAAAUAAAGGAAAAUCUCAUAAAAUCCACUUCAUGAAUCAUCCAUGAAUCUUCUGAGCAGGUGGGUAAAACCGUAUCAAAUGCAACCACCCUCAUGAUUCUCAAGUAUUUCAUAACCACAACAGGAGCAUAUCAAAUUAAAAAAUGGACAAAUCUACACAAAUGCAGGCGUACAUAUCAACAAACAGACCAGUGGCCUUCAACAUCCACCCAAAACAGCAUUAUGUUAUGGAAAAUCAAUGAAUAAUGAGAGAUGAGGAGAAAACUGCGUACAUACCUGGUUCCUCAAGCAAAAAGAAAUCAAGUCUCAGCUCUCUCAAUGAGUUUCUCCCUCCAAAGACUCCUCAGGUAAAGCAGCUCACCUCAAAUGUCUCUCUCUACCGUCAAGAACUCACUAUCCCUCCUCCGUAGCUUACUCUCUCAGCUAAGAAAAGCCUCCCCCUCUCCUUCGCUCACUCUUGGCAAUGGAAAAACCUCUCAGAGAAAGUCUCCUCUAACGACCAUGGAAAAAAAAACCUCUCACUCUCUCUACAACUUCUCCAAUAUCUCUCCUCUAACGACCAUGGAAAAAAAAACCUCUCACUCUCUCUACAGCUUCUCUAAUAUCUCCCCUCGUUCCCCUCUUUUUUUUUUUUGUUUUUUUGUAUCCCCCUUUUGCAAGCCACUCUUCUCCUUUUUUUUUCUUUCACCUUCCUCAGCAAGUCACCCCUGCCUCCUACAACCACCUUUUUUCUCGGAUUUGCCUUCCUAACAAUCUCUGUUGCAGCCACCUUUCCUGCACCACUCCUUCUGCAGCCACCUUUUUUUCUCCAAUCUAUCCCCUCUUGACGGCCUGUGGGACCCCCUUCCAGGAAGUUCCUCCACAUGUCAAAGUCCUACUGCAACUUCAAAAAGCGAGGUUGAUUCCUUAUAGCCACUAAGGAUGUGACAUGUGGCCCGCUGGGAUAGUGACACCUGGUUAAAAAUGUGAUCUGCAAAAACAAAUAGAGAAAAAGCGACUCAUGCCUAAAUAGGGGUCUAUAGUCUCAUAAGUACAAAAAUAUUUUUAGUAUUAAUAAGUUUCUAAAAAGGACCUUCAUUACAAAAAAAAAAUUAUAAUAAAUAAAAAACUUUUAUUGCAAAAAAAUAUGUAAAUAUUUAUAUUGUUAAAAAAAACUCAAAAAAUUAUUUUUAUGAUUAUGAAAAUAGAAAUAAUGUAGAGUACAUAAAAAAUUAGAAAUUGAUGUCAUUGAACUCACUGCAUGAUAAACUUGUAAUAAUUUCCAACAUGAUUGUAUAAAAUCUUAAAAUUAUUUUCUAAAUAUUAGUUCUCCUGUUGUUGGUGAGGAAUUUUCAUAAAAAAUUUGAAGAGAGUAAAAUGAAAAAAAAAAUUAAUAAGAAACACUUUGACUAUUUUAGGAAUAUUUGAAAUUUUUUAAAGUAUUUUUUUUAUAAAAAAAAACACCUUCCAAUUGCUUCCCUAGAAAACACUUUAAUCAUUUUUUAAAAUUUUUAAAAGUGUAUUUCAAAAUAUUAUCAAACACUUAUUUUUCACCUUAAAAACACUUUUCAUAUGAAAUGUAAAUAAUUUUCAUAAAAAUACAAUUACAUUUAAUGUUAAAAGUUAUGACAUUUUUCAUAUAGCUUUUCACGAGAAAGUUCUCUCUUUAAAAGAUAAUUUCAAUAUAAACCAUUUUUUUCUAUACAAAUCCUUUUAUGAAAAUUGUUAUUUCAAAAAGCAAUUUUGUAAUGACUGGGUAUUUUAUGCCACGUUAGCAUUUUUAGUUUGAAAAGUCUUAUUUGUGUGAUGGUUGAAAAGUCAAAAAGAAAAGUGUUUGGAGAACACGUGUCAAUUUCGGAUUGGUGAAUUUCGUUUUAUUGUGUCAGUCAAUUAAACGAGUUGAAAUUUUAUACCAUGUCAGCCUUAGGGUAGAAAAUUUCUUAGGAUUUUAGAAAUUGAAAUUUUUAGGAAACGAAAAAAAAAAUAAUUAAAAAAAUUAAUUAGAAUUAAUUAAGAAAAAUUAAAUUAAACUGAUGAAUAAUAAAAUUGAGAAAAAUUAGUUUUAGAUUGGUGUUAGUAAAUAAAUGGUGUUAAAAAAAUGAUGAAAAACAAAUGAAUUAAAAAUCAAAUAAAACAAUUAGAAUAAACAAAAGAAAAUAAAAUAAAAGAAAUAAAAUAAAAAUAUUCAUUGGGCUUUGAAUAUUGGUUUUUUAAGGUAAUGGAUUGUUAAAAAGAAAGGAAUUGAGUUGGGCUUGGAUAUGGGCUUAAGUGGCUGGUGGCUUUUAAAAGCCAUGUGAAAAAAAAAAAAAAGGAGAAUGAGGAGAAUUGGAAAAAAAAAAACUGGCAGUGGGGAGAGAGAGAGAGGCUACUGUGCAUAAAUUAGGGCAUUGGCCAGAUCUUUGACCGGCCGUUAGGAUGACCAAACGAUCUCUGUUUUGGCCCAAAUUCGGAGGAAGUGCUCUAUUCGACUAGAGGAACAAGUCUAUGGUGGCUGAUUCAUUUUUAACGGCCAAAUUUUCAUAUAUGAGGUAGGGGAAAACUAACCCUAAAACUCAAAUUUAAUGUAUUUUUCAUUGGAAAAAAAUUAUAAAUCUGAUAAUUAUGAGUUAAUUAGGUAAUUUUGAUGUUGUGUGAAUUUUCUGGAAUGAUUUGGGAUUUUUUCUGGAUUUUUUUUGUAAUUUUCAGAAUUCUUUGUAAUUAAUAAAUAAUUAUUUUAGGUUGUUAAAAAUUGCUAGAAAUGUAGGAAAAUUCCGGAAUUAGGGUAAGAUUUCAAAUCUAGUGACUUAUGAAUUUUUGAAAAUUGAUUGGAAUAUUUGCGGUAAUUUUAUUGUGAAAAAUUAGUUAUUUUCAAAUAUUAGGAAUUAUUAGAAUUAUUGAAAAAUUCUAAAAUUGUGACAUAAAUUCAAGUAUAUUGAUGUGUGAAUUUCCAAAAAUUCGUUGGUAUAUUUUCAGGAAUUUUAAUGUGAAAAUUUUAUUUUAUUGUGUUAUUGAAAAUGUUGGAAUUGUUGAAAUUAUUGAGGAAUUUUGGAGUUUGUAGCAUUCAUUUACAUCAUGGUUGUAUGAAGAAAAAAAAAUUUGUGAAAAGUGUAUGAAAUGGAAAAAAAAAAAUAGUGAUGAAAAGUGAAAGCCCGUGUGAGGCGAACUAAGAAGGAAAAGAGAUCCCUAGGGUGAAAGACCCAAAAGUUUACCCCAGGAAGACUCCGAAUAGGGAGUAUAUUUGGGUGCGGAUGCGUAUCCUUCGGUGAAAGCCCGAGAAUGAUAGUGCAUUGUAUGAUUGUGUGUCAUACGUUUAUGUGCAUUCAUUUAAUGAUUGGAUGCUGUGGAAUUGAGUUUAAUGUUAUAUGUUAAAUUGUGUGACUUGAUUUAUAUUGGUGAACUGUUGCGUUUGGGUUCCCAAAAUAUAGUAAUCCCUCAUUAACCCUGUGGGUGUUAGGCACCCUACUGAGCAAUGUGGAAAUGCUCACUCCUUCAUUUUUAUAUCUUUUUAGAUGCAGAUAUCACUCCUGAGGAUCCACAGAUGGGACAGAGAGGACUUUAGGAUGCCCCUAGAGCGGUUUAAUGGAAAGGUUUUAUUUUUUUAUUGUGUUUGUGGCAUUGAGACCUUGUAAUAAGUGAAUUAUGGAUAAUGUAAUAAGACCUUAGUUUGAUUAAGGGGAUUUUUAUGAAACUUUAUUUUGGGAUGCAAUGAUGUUUAUUAAAUCUUGAUGUGUUUGAGUAAGGUUUUAAAAUAUUGUUAGUUGGUGAGAACUCUAGUGGGACUUAUAUGUGAAAAAAAAAAAAUUCAGAGUGUUUUAGUUGACUGCCAACGUGGAAUAGGAGAAACCCUUAGGGUCAAACCUUUGACCUGGGAUCACGGGCCAAAUUUUGGGUCGCCCGGAAUUUGGGUCGUGACAGCGUGGUAUCAGAGCCAAGGUUGCGAUAAUACAUUGGGGUCAAUGUUGUGAGUGUUUGUGUGUAUUGUAAUGUUAUGAUUUUUGUAUGUGUUAAUUGGCAAGUUGAUGAUUAAUUAAAUUAUGUAUUGUGAUUGUAUGAAAGUGAAAGUUUUGAUAAUUGCUGAAGUUGCUAAGUGUGUACAUGUGAAAUUUGUUUUUGCUCACCUUGGUAAUGUGGUUGAGUAAGGGUUUUAUUCAUCCAAGUACAUCGCCAUAGGGAGCCCCAGUGUUGUUUGUGAAGAAGAAGGAUGACACAGUAAGGUUAUGUAUUGACUAUAGGAAGUUGAAUAGAGUUACUGUGAAGAACAAGUAUCCUCUUCCAAGGAUAGAUGACUUGUUUGAUCAGUUGAAGGGUGCAAAGUAUUUUAGUAAGAUUGACUUGAGAAUUGGGUAUCAUCAACUGAGGGUUAGGGAAGAAGAUGUUUCUAAAACAGCUUUUAGAACGAGAUAUGGGCAUUAUGAAUUCUUAGUCAUGCCUUUUGGGUUAACUAAUUCCCCCGCUGCUUUCAUGGAUUUAAUGAACAGGGUAUUUCGUGCUUACUUGGAUCAGUUUGUGAUUGUCUUUGUGGAUGACAUCUUGAUCUACUCCAGGAGUUUGGAGGAGCAUAAGCAGCAUUUGGUGACCACCCUUAAAACUUUGAGAAGGCAUCAGUUGUAUGGGAAGUUGGACAAAAGUGAGUUUUGGCUUACUGAAGUGAACUUCUUAGGCCAUGUGGUUUCUGAGGCAGGAAUAGCAGUAGACCAUUCAAAGGUGGAAGCUGUACAGGAGUGGCAAAGGCCUACCAAUGUAUUUGAGGUUAGAAGUUUCUUGGGGUUGGUUGGAUAUUAUAGGAGGUUUGUAGAAGAUUUCUUUAGAAUUGCAGCACCAAUGACUCAGUUGACUAGAAAAGGGGUAAAGUUUGAUUGGAAUGAGGAGUGUGAGAAUGCUUUCCAGGAGUUGAAGCGGAAAUUGACCACUGCUCCAGUGUUAACUGCUCCUAUUAGUGGAGAGUUGUUUACAAUUUAUUGUGAUGCUUCCACAGUGGGGCUAGGGUGUGUGCUAAUGCAGCAAGGCAAGGUGGUAGCUUAUGCCUCAAGACAGUUAAAGCAGCAUGAGCGGAAUUAUCCAACACAUGAUUUGGAGCUUGCGGUAGUGGUGUUUGCCCUUAAGACUUGGAGACACUAUUUGUAUGGAGAGAAGUUUGAGGUGUACUCUGAUCACAAGAGUUUGAAAUAUAUUUUCACUCAAAAGGAUCUGAACUCUAGGCAAAGGAGAUGGAUGGAGACAUUAGAAGAUUAUGAUUUUGCUCUUCAUUAUCAUCCAGGAAAGGCAAAUGUUGUAGCAGAUGCCUUGAGUAGGAAGAGUAUUGGCCAGUUGUCUAGCUUGGAGUUGAGAGAGUUUGAGAUGCAUGCACUUAUUGAGGAUUUUGAAUUAUGUCUUGGUUUGGAAGGGCAUGGUCCAUGCUUGUACAGUAUAUCAGCUAGACCAAUGGUUAUCCAAAGAAUAGUGGAGGCCCAAGUUCAUGAUGAGUUUUUAGAAAAGUUUAAAGCCUAGUUGGUAGCAGGUGAAAUAGAUGAAAAUUGGUCUAUGUAUGAAGAUGGGAGUGUGAGGUUCAAAGAGAGAUUGUGUGUGCCAAAAGAUGUGGAGUUGAGAAAUGAACUUCUAGCAGAUGCUCAUAGGGCGAAGUAUACCAUCCACCCUGGGAAUACCAAGAUGUAUCAAGACUUAAAGAGACAGUUUUGGUGGAGUGGGAUAAAGAGAGAUAUUGCUCAGUUUGUAGCUAAUUGUCAGAUUUGUCAACAAGUGAAGGCUGAACACCAGAGGCCUACAGGGUUGUUGCAACCUUUACUUAUACUUGAGUGGAAGUGGGAUAAUAUCACUAUGGACUUUGUGAUAGGGUUGCCAAGAACUAAAAGCAAGAAAAAUGGAGUUUGGGUGAUUGUGGACCGUCUUACUAAGUCAGCUCAUUUUCUAGCCAUGAAAACUACUGAUUCCAUGAACUCUUUGGCUAAGUUGUAUAUACAAGAGAUUGUGAGAUUGCAUGGGAUAGCUAUAUCUAUAGUGUCUGACAGGGACCCUAAGUUUACUUCUCAGUUUUGGUAGAGUUUACAAAGGGCUUUGGGCACCCAACUGAAUUUUAGCACCGUUUUUUCACCCUCAGACAGAUGGUCAAUCAGAGAGAGUGAUUCAGAUCUUAGAAGACAUGUUAAGGGCUUGUGUUUUGGAUUUUGGAGGAAAUUGGGCAGAUUACUUACCUUUGGCAGAGUUUGCUUAUAACAACAGUUACCAAUCUAGUAUUGUCAUGGCACCUUAUGAAGCACUCUAUGGGAGACCUUGUAGAUCGCCCUUGUGUUGGAUAGAGAUGGGUGAGAGUCGUUUGUUGGGACCUGAGAUUGUCCAAGAGACUACAGAGAAGAUACAACUCAUCAAGGAAAAACUUAAGACUACCCAAGAUAGACAGAAAAGUUAUGCAGACAAAAGGAGAAGACCCUUGGAGUUUGAGGAAGGGGAUUGGGUGUUUGUAAAAAUGUCCCCUCGAAGAGGCAUAUUUCGAUUUGGGAAGAAGGGGAAGUUAGCCCCUAGGUUUGUGGGACCAUUUCAGAUUGAUAAGAGAGUUGGCCCAGUGGCAUACAAGUUAAUUUUGCCUCAACAGUUGUCCCUUGUGCAUGAUGUUUUCCAUGUGUCAAUGCUAAGAAAGUGUACCCCAGAUCCAACUUGAUAGUGGACUUGCAAGAUGUUCGGAUUAGUGAAGAUACUUCUUAUGUGGAGGAACCUUUACGAAUUCUGGAAGUUGGAGAGCAUAGGUUCAGGAACAAGGUGAUUCUUACAGUCAAAGUGUGGUGGCAACACCAUGGGAUAGAAGAAGCCACUUGGGAACCUGAGGAAGAAAUGAGACGACACUAUCCUCAACUCUUCUAUGAAUUUUAAGGUAAGCUAGCUUAAAUCUCGGGACGAAAUUUCUUUUAGGAGGAUAGGAUGUAAUGACCGGGUAUUUUAUGCCACGUUAGCAUUUUUAGUUUGAAAAGUCUUAUUUUGUGUGAUGGUUGAAAAGUAAAAAAGAAAACUGUUUGGAGAACACGUGUCAAUUUCGGAUUGGUGAAUUUCGUUUUAUUGUGUCGGUCAAUUAAACGAGUUGAAAUUUUAUACCAUGUCAACCUUAGGGUAGAAAAUUUCUUAGGAUUUUAGAAAUUGAAAUUUUCCGGAAACGAAAAAAAAAAAAGAAUUAAUUAAAAAAAUUAAUUAGAAUUAAUUAAGAAAAAUUAAAUUAAAUUGAUGAAUAAUAAAAUUGAGAAAAAUUAGUUUUAGAUUGGUGUUAAUAAAUAAAUUGUGUGUUAAAAAAAUGAUGAAAAAAAAUGAAUUGGAAAUCAAAUAAAACAAUUAGAAUAAACAAAAGAAAAGAAAAUAAAAUAAAUAAAAUAAAAAUAUUCAUUGGGCUUUGAACAUUGGCCGUUUAAGGUAAUGGAUUGUUAAAAAGAAAGGAAUUGAGUUGGGCUUGGAUAUGGGCUUAAGUGGCUGGUGGCUUUUAAAAGCCAUGUGAAGUGGGCUGUUAAAAAAAAAAAAAGGAGAAUGAGGAGAAUUGGAAAAAAAACUGGCAGCGGGGAGAGAGAGAGAGAGAAAGGCUACUGUGCAUAAAUUAGGGCACUGGUCGGAUCUUUGACCGGCCGUUUGGACGACCAAACGAUCUCCGUUUUGGCCCAAAUUUGGAGGAAGUGCUCUAUUCGACUAGAGGAACAAGUCUGCGGUGGCUGAUUUCGUUUUUAACUGCCAAAUUUUCAUAUAUGAGGUAGGGGAAAACUAACCCUAAAACUCAAAUUUAAUGUAUUUUUCAUUGGAAAAAAAUUAUAAAUCUGAUAAUUAUGAGUUAAUUAGGUAAUUUUGAUGUUGUGUGAAUUUUCUAGAAUGAUUUGGGAUUUUUUCUGGAUUUUUUUGUAAUUUUCAGAAUUCUUUGUAAUUAAUAAAUAAUUAUUUUAGGUUGUUAAAAAUUGCUAGAAAUGUAGGAAAAUUCUGGAAUUAGGGUAAGAUUUCAAAUCUAAUGACUUAUGAAUUUUUGAAAAUUGAUUGGAAUAUUUGCGGUAAUUUUAUUGUGAAAAAUUAGUUAUUUUCAAAUAUUAGGAAUUAUUAGAAUUAUUGAAAAAUUCUAAAAUUGUGACAUAAAUUCAAGUAUAUUGAUGUGUGAAUUUCCGAAAAUUCGUUGGUAUAUUUUCGGGAAUUUUAAUGUGAAAAUUUUAUUUUAUUGGGUUAUUGAAAAUGUUGGAAUUGUUGAAAUUAUUGAGGAAUUUUGGAGUUUGUAGCAUUCAUUUGCAUCAUGGUUGUAUGAAGAGAAAAAAAAUUUGUGAAAAGUGUAUGAAAUGGAAAAAAAAAAAAAAAAAAUAGUGAUGAAAAGUGAAAGCCCGUGUGAGGCGAACUAAGAAGGGAGAGAGAUCCCUGGGGUGAAAGACCCAAAAGUUUACCCCGAGAAGACUCCGAAUAGGGAGUAUAUUUGGGUGCGGACGCGUAUCCUUCGGUGAAAGCCCGAGAAUGAUAGUGCAUUGUAUUAUUGUGUGUCAUACGUUUAUAUGCAUUCAUUUAAUGAUUGGAUGUUGUGGAAUUGAGUUUAAUGUUAUAUGUUAAAUUGUGUGACUUGAUUUAUAUUGGUGAACUGUUGCGUUUGGGUUCUCAAAAUAUAGUAAUGCCCCAUUAACCCUGUGGGUGUUAGGCACCCUACUGAGCAAUGUGGAAAUGCUCACCCCUUCAUUUUUAUAUCUUUUUAGAUGCAGAUAUCACUCCUGAGGAUCCACAGAUGGAACAGGGAGGACUUCAAGAUGCCCCUAGAGCGGUUUAGUGGAAAUGUUUUAUUUUUUUAUUGUGUUUGUGACAUUGAGACCUUGUAAUAAGUGAAUUAUGGAUAAUGUAAUAAGACCUUAGUUUGAUUAAGGGGAUUUUUAUGAAACUUUAUUUUGGGAUGCAAUGAUGUUUAUUAAAUCUUGAUGUGUUUGAGUAAGUGUGGACCCCGCAUUUCGGCUCAAUGCGUUUCCCACUCGAAUGGCGAGCUCGAUUUUGACUUUGAAAAAUGAUUUUAUUGAUUAAGAAAAAUUGACUUGGAGUCGCCACUUAUUUUUGUUUUAUUUUUAAAGGGUAAACAAAAUAAGAAAGAAAAACCCUAAGUGUGACUCCUGGUUUUGGAAAAGGCGGCCUGUGAAAAAUCGGAUCGGGUUCGGGGGUCAGGUUACUUAUCGGGAAGGUACGGUAAAGACCGUAGCACCCCUCUAAGUCCCUAAAGUCGGGUCUCUACUAAUAGAAUGAAGCUGACAUGGAAAUCAACGAGAAAGUCAAUGGAUAUUCACCUAAAUCAUGCACAAUAUGAGAAUCAAAACACACAAUAGAGAUUGACUAGAAAGGAAGUGGAUGCGUACCUCGGCCACGAGCCACAAUGCGCUAUCAAGAAACGGGAUUAGCGCACAAUUAAUGAAUACAAAACAUAGCUCAUACAUAUCGGAGUGCAAAACGAAGCUCAAGCGAAAUACAGUAAGCACGAUAAUUGACAGUCGAAAUGGAUCAAACAUCGGGCCCCCACCAAAGCCCAAUUUAUGGUUCAUGAAUUAGUGUUACAAAUUUCGUGUCCUAGAAUUAUGAAGAAUUUAUUUUUGUUUAUGUAGAAUCAAGAAGAUCAGAAGACUAUUUCAAGAAUUUUUAGGAGAUCAAUUGAGAAAUUUAAAGGAUCAAUACAAUCAGCAUGAGGAAAUCAGCAGUUGCGUUUGAGUGUUAUUCCGUGAAAUAACUCGAAUUUCAAAUCAUUCACUUGCUUUAACUACUCAUGCUAUGGAUGUGGGAGCAUCAACUCCGUCCCUGUGGGCUUGUCUUGGGAAUUAAAUUUAAAAGAUUAGAGCUUCGGUAAUUAAAAUGAAAUUUGCCAAAGAAAAUGAGAAAUGAACUUUAGGGAAUUAAACUGCAAAGAUAUAGAUUUUGAAAGUUGAAUUUGUAAUAAUAAUAAUAAUAAGGGAUGAACUUUAGGAAAUUAAGCUACGAGAAUAUAGAUUUUUAAUAAUAAUAAUAAUAAUAAUAAUAAUAAUAGUAAUAAUAAUAAUAAUAAUAAUAAUAAGAAAUGAACUUUAAGAAAAUUGAACUGCCAGAAUAUAGAUUUUUUAAUAAUAAUAAUAAUAAGAAAUGAAAUUUAGGAAAUUAAAUUGCAAGGAUAUAGAUUUUUGAUAAUAAUAAUAAUAAUAACAAUAAUAAGAAAUGAACUUCAAGAAAUUGAACUGCCAGAAUAUAGAUUUUUUAAUAAUAAUAAUAAUAAUAAUAAUAAGAAAUGAAAUUUAGGAAAUUAAAUUAUGAUGAUAUAGAUUUUUAAUGAUAAUAAUAAUAAUAAUAAUAAUAAUAAUAAUAAUAAUAAAUGAACUUCAGGAAAUUGAACGGCUAAAGUAUAGAUUUUUUAAUAAUAAUAAUAAUAAUAACAAUAAUAAUAUAAUGAACUUUAGGAAAUUAAAUUACGAGGACAUAGAUUUUUAAUAAUAAUAAUAAUAAGAAAUGAACUUUACGAAAUUAAAUUGCAAGGAUACAAAUUUUUAAUAAUAACAAUAAUAAUAAUGAUAAUAAUAAUAUUAGGAAAUUGAACUGAGAGAGAGUAUAUAUUUUUAAUAAUAAUAAUAAUAAUAAUAAUGAUAAUAAUAAUAACAAUAAUAAUAAUAAAAAUAAUAAUAACAAUAAUAAUAACAAUAAUAAUAAUAACAAUAAUAAUAAUAAUAAUAAUAAUAAUCCCUAGCAACCCUAGUCAUAAUAAAACCCUAGUCCGGUCCAAGUCCAUCAGCAAACCUCAAGCCCAUAAUAAUAAUAAAAUCACCCUAGCAACCUUGGUCCAGCCCAAGUCCAUCAGCAAACCUCAAGCCUCCAAGUCCAUCAGCAAACCUCAAGCCCAAAUCCAAGCCCAUCAUCAAAAGGGCUUUGGAAGUGGACCAAUGAUGGUGGCCCUGCAUCUUAUCUACAACUUGGACUCCCAAGUCUCUAGCUAGCACCACGAGACAUUGCCCCACCUGCUGAAAUUCCCCUGAUCUUCACUAUCCACAACGGAACCCUCCAAUGUCGCGAGAUGCAUGCGCGUGUCAGAGGAAAACUCAAACUUAGGGCAAUGGAGCCACCAAGUCGGGCGUGUGUUCUAGUCUCAUGCUCGGGCCUAUCAGGGAGCACGACAAUGGCAUCCCUACACCUUGCAACCGUGACAAUGAAGCCUUGAUUUUUAGAGUGAAAACGGACAGCACUCAUCAUUGCCAUUCUCCAACUGAUUUAAGCGCUUAGUCCAUCUCUUCUUGAUGAGACAACUUGUAAUCCAGCACACGGAAAAAGUCUAAGUCUGGGGAGAAAAAAAAAGGUUGGCGAGCAUGGAGUGUAAGGAAAUGGUGUACACGAGAAGAAUAGUUUUGGUGGAUAUAGGAGGCAUGGGAUAGGUUAAUGAAAACGGGCAAUAGCAUGGGUAUAGAGACAUGAAACGGAUGAGUUAGUGUACACGGGUAUGGAAUGAAGAGGUGAGUUGGGUAGUGGGCAUGUGAAAUGAAGGUGGAUGGUGGGUUUCAUGGGAUCGAUGAUGCAUGGCAGGACAGGUAAGGGGGUGUCUUGAAGGGUACGUACAUGCAUGGAUGGCAUAGAGUGGUGUAAAUUAAUGAGAAAACCAUGAGUGUGAAGGGUUGUGGUGUAGAGAGAGAAAAGGUGGCGAAAUGUUUAUGGGUAUUGUGAAGGUUUAGGUGACAUGUAUGAGGGGUAUAGAAUGAGAAUGGUGGUGAGAAGAAUGGGUAAGCGGGUUUGGGAUGGUGAAAACGGUGAUGAGAGAGGUGUAUAGUGAGAGGUAUUGGGGAAGUGGAUUUGAUGGGUAAGGGUACAGAAGUAAAGAGUGAGAAUAGUGGUGAUGAGCACGGUGGAUAUUGGAAAAACUGAUGGUGCAUAGCUAUAUGGUAAUGGGUGUGCGGGUAGUGAUGUCGGCUUGUCAAGCUAGGCAGAAAACCACACCCCGGGAAACUCUUAUACGGUCUCCAGAAAAAGACAUCUCUACCUAGACUUCUUAGGUAGAAAUGGGAGAAUGGACACGGCUUGGAUCAAAAACCAAAGACAGGGAAAAACAACAAGGAGAGCAAAACAAUGGGAAACCAAAAUGGAGCCCCGCAAACCUCAUUUCACAUAUUAAUCAAUGAGCUCAGGAAUGGGCUGAAGUAAAUUUCAAAUGAGCUUUAAAACGAGACUAAAACGUGAAUGCCAAUGUUCCAUAUGAAAUCCCAAAACAGAGGAUACAAAAUGGGCUAGAAGUCAAGGAUGAAUCAAGUGAAAGCAAACCCGGAUACCAUAGAAACAAACUAGAGAUACAAAUGAACAGAUCUGGACAUCAAAACAGAACCUAAUGAUACUAAAAAAAAAAACUCAACAAAAUGAUAUGGAAAUGGAAAAACCGAUAGCUUGUAGGAACACAUGCCUGUAUCGAUUCCUAUCAAUGCGAUCCUUAUGCGCGUUUCUCCUUCUCUCUGGCCAGUUAUCUCUUCCUAAGCCCUCCAACUCUCACCCGAUCUCCCCCCUCUCCAGAACCUCUUCCUUCUCUGCCCUAUCAUUCCUCUGUUUUGUCUUCCCCCACAAGCCACGGACCUGCUCCACUGUGUGUCCUUGGAGCAGGUCAUCAGCAUCCAACCACCACCAUGGCGAGCCAGCUCCACAACCACCUGUCCACGCAUCUCCGCUUCAGUGGGAAGGGGUCCCCCCGUUUUCAAAAGGAAUGAAAAAAAGAAACCAAAACCCAAGAAACAACUUCCCGGGUGUUUUUAAAACCAAAGAAAGGACCCCCCCUCUCCCCUGUUUUUAAAGGGGUCUACAGUAAGGUUUUAAAAUAUUGUUAGUGGUGAGAACCCUAGUGGGACUUAUAUGUGAAAAAAAAAAUAUAAAAAAAUUCAGAGUGUUUUAGCUGAUUGCCAACGUGAAAUAUGAGAAACCCUUAGGGUCAAACCUUUGACCUGGGGUCACGGGCCAAAUUUUGGGUCGCCCGGAAUUUGGGUCGUGACAAAUUUGGUUGUGACUUAAUUUUUAUUUUAAAAUAAAAUAGUAUUUUUUUUUAAGAAAACAACUAUUUUUAUGGAAGUCAUUAUUCCAAAAAGCAAUUUAGGUGCAAUUUAAAAAAAAAAAGCAAUAAAUCAAAUUUAUUAUUAUUAUUAUUUUAAAAAAUCAAUUAAUAAUUAAAAAUAUAUAAAUGACAACUUCUAAAAUGAAUUGAUACUAAAAAUAAAAAAUUAUAUUGAUUUAAAAAGAUAACUUCACAAGUUAUUUGGAAUGAGUCCUUUAAAAUUACAACUUCUAAAAUAUAUAUGCAUCUUUCCAUGAAAAGUAAUUACACUUUAUAUGUAAAGUGUUGUAUAUUUUUAUUUUUUUUGUAUAAAUUCAAUAUGAAAGUUGUCUGACCAAAACUACCUUAAAUUUCUUCAUACUUUUACAAGCACUUGUUUGAAAAAAAAUUUUGGUUUCAAUUUGCUGUAGAUGCUAAAAAUCCCCAAUACAUUGGUGGGGUAAGUAUUGAUAAUUCCUGAGUUUUGGUACAGAACUGAUGCAGGGGCUUUUGAGGUCUCAUGGACAAAAAUAAGAAAAAUGGAAUGCAUAAAUCCUGCAGCAUACAACCAAAACUCACUAUUCAUUUAACCAGACAAGUAAACCGAAAAUGCAUAGAGAAAUGAAUUACUUCAAUUUAUAGAUUUUAUUAGCAUGUUUUUACAUACAAUACGGUCUACAUGGCAGGAGGUGUGGAUCAAUUUACGUUACAGGAAGGCAGCUCUGCUUCUACCCCCAACAGAAACCAGAAGAACUCCAUCCCCCAGCAUGAAUUGAAAAGCAGAGGGACAAGAAGCUAACAGACACCAUAUAUUAGGAUAAGGACUAAUACCAGAUGCAAGAGAAGGAAACAAGCUUGCAAACUCCCUUGCUCAUUGAAAAGAAACUUCGUUCCUGGAAAGUAGGUAUGAUAAGAGAAUUUCGUUCCACAUAUCAGGCACCCCAGGUAGACACCAAUGGCUACAAUCAGGCACCAAUGGAGUGUCGCUAUUAGUACCAACGUGCGCAUCACUACGGAAUGCCACCAUGGGGGUAACAUGCAGAACUGUCGCAGGAACAGCCAUAUUCUCCACCACCUUCAUUAUGAUGUCUGAAAAUGGACUCCGGUCCCUUCCUUUAGGUUUUGACAAGGGGUUUCUAGUCACUUUGCAAAACUGUUGUCUUCGACCACUGGCACAGAGAUAGGCUUACUGUCAAUCAAGUUUGCCUAUAUAGGCUUAUUUUUCAACAACAAAAAUUUAUAAAUAAACAUUAGUCAAUGAAUGAACAUAAUAUGGUCAUAAUGUAAAGAUGGUGCUAUAGGAAUAGGUAGUGAAGAAACCCAAUUCCGUCCAUUAUGUUGAAUGCAAUGAUAAAGGACGGGUGCAUCUAACCAUGAUAGGUGCAACAGAUCAAUUUUGUUCUUUUAUCGCUUGAACAAGAGGACGGAAGUGGAAGUGAAUCCUCUUUUGUUUCGUGUUCAUCCACGACCAGGACGGAUCGUCUUGUUUAGCAGAAGCGUGUUCCACGUGAACACGCAUGUGCCUAACAUAAUGCUGACAUAUGAAACCUAAGGGCAGACAUCUGAUAACUGUAUUCACCCUAAUGAACAACAAAGCCACAUGAUAAGAAUCACAUGGAUGGCCAUCAAGCAACAAGAUAUAUAAAAGAUUAUACUCAUAUCCCAAAACCUCCCUUGAACUAUCCUUGAUCAUAUAGUGCAAUAACCAUAAAACUUCUUUAAGGUUAUUAAUGAUGACAGCAUGACCUCCCACCAUUAUUUUGAAAAGCUGCAUUGAUUAUCUCAUGAUAGGCAAGGAGUUUAGAUCUCAGCCAGCCUGCAGCUUCUGACUGAGGUGUUGUAUCACUUUGCUAAGCUUAUGGGUUUGAUGACAAAGUGAAGAUACAUGGCCAAUGCAAGUAAGUAGGCUGGGCCAAGGUUAACUCACUGGACCCUGGUAGCUAAAUGAGUGGACCUAAGGACCCCCCAAGACCAGCAGCCUAUGGCCCAUAUCAUCCCUUAAUCAUCAUAUAGGAUAAGUUUAUUAUUUUAGAAAUAAGACAUGUUUAUUCUUUACAUGAGUGCAAAUGUAUACCAAUGGUUAUCUUAAAAGCAUAAUCUAUGGAAUCUUAUGAGAAGAAAAGCAGAAAGAGAGUUGGAUAAACAGGGGACUGACAUCCCAAUUCCAACAUCUUGGCUGCCAAUCCAGUUUUAGUUUCUAGUUAUAUAUGCAGUAGAUCCCGUAGAACUUGAUUCAACUAGAGAGUUUUAACUCCAAUUUUCAAACAACCCCAUUGAGGAACAAAUAAAUUUGGCAGAAAAUAUAAUGACUAACUACUGAAAACGCACCUCCAGUGGGAAGAUUCAAAAUAACGAAAGAAUACACGUGUUCUGUUUGUGUUGAUUGUAGUUUCAAUCCAUGAAGCCCAAGUGUUUAAUGCUGUUCUGAAGGCAGUUGGAAUUGACAUUCCAAGCUUCAGUGCUCCACCCACCUGGAAGUAGCAGCCCCUAUCUGGAAAAACAUAUUUGUAGUAGUCCACAGAUGCAUUCGUGGAAAGCUAAUCCAUUAUUACAAAGGGAAAGUUGAUAGUUGUAGUUUUAAGUACAUGGCAGACUUAUUGAAGAACAUACUAUAUGUUGAAAAGGCACGUUUUUUUCUUUAAAUCUCUAGAUGUAAAAUACAUUUUGUUGGAAAACCAAAACUGAUAUGGAAAGAAAUAACUUUGUAAAGUUGUAAAUUAUUUAUUAGUUCUCAAUCUUUGUAUUUUUAAGAAAGUAAUUAUUAUAAGUUAUUUAUUGUUGUCAAUUUUUGUAUUUUUAGGAAAGUAAUUGUUAGGAGUUAUUCUUUCCUUUUAAUCAGUGAUUUAGUUUCCUAAUUUGAAGGAUUUGUAUAUGCUGUAAACUCUAUAAAAGAAUAAUCUCAAUAAAAGAAAAUUAUUCCUGUGAAACCCUAUUCUUCAACUUGGUAUCAGAGUUAGCAAUUUGCUUGCCGAAAUCCUCCUUCUUCCUCUCUUUCAAUCCUUGUUCUCUGAAACCAUGUCGGAUAUUUCAAACGAGUCCACUACUGUUCCUCAACCUUCUCUGAACAAUCUCAUCAUCACUAAUUCUUCAAAAAUCAGUCCUACCACCUUGGAAUCUCACUCUGUCCAAAUCACCACGAUUCGCUUGAAUGGUGACAACUUUUUGAGAUGGUCUCAAUCAGUUCGGAUGUACAUCAAAGGACGUGGAAAGAUGGGCUACCUGACGGGUGAAAAGAAGGCUCCUGCAGUGGAUGAUCCGAACUAUGCUAUAUGGGAUGCUGAAAAUUCCAUGGUGAUGACAUGGCUUGUGAAUUCUAUGGAAGAAGACAUUAGCUCUAAUUACAUGUGCUAUCCAACAACAUAAGAGCUUUGGGAGAAUAUAAAUCAGAUGUAUUCUGAUUUAGGGAAUCAAUCAUAGAUCUUUGAAUUAACCCUCAAACUUGGUGAGAUACGAUAAGGGAGGACAACGUCGCAAAGUACUUCAACUCCUUGAACCAGAUCUGGCAAGACCUUGACCUCUUCAACACCUAUGAGUGGAAAUCUGCCGAUGAUGGACUUCAUCAUAAGAAGACCAUGGAAGACAAUCGGAUCUUCAAGUUCUUGGCUGGCCUUAAUGUCGAGUUUGAUGAGGUAAGAGGGAGAAUCAUUGGAAGACAACCCCUGCCUUCAAUUGGUGAAGUUUUUUCAAAAGUUAGAAGAGAAGAGAGUCAGAGAAAUGUGAUGCUGAGCAAGAAGGGACCUGGAGUUGCUAUUGAAGGUUCAGCCUUGGUUACCACGGGUGGAGGUUAUAAUAAAGCUGCUGCGUUUCAGUGCAAAUCAAAUGAAAGACCACGGGUUUGGUGUGAUUUUUGCAACAAACCUCGCCAUACUUGUGAGAACUGUUGGAAAAUCCAUGGGAAACCUGCAAAUUGGAAAGGAAAAACAGGUGACAAACCAGGCCGAGCCAUUAUUCCUACUGCUAAUGAGGUUGAGACCAGCCCCUUCACCACUGAGCAAAUGGAGCAUCUUCUUGCACUGCUGAAAUCCAAAUUGACAUCCAGUACUUCUAGUGUUUCUUUGGCACACACAGGUAAUGAAUUAUAUGCUCUAUCUUGUCAUUUUAAAUUUACUCCAUGGAUAAUCGAUUCUAGAGCAUCCGACCACAUGACCAAUUCCUCAAACAUGUUUGAAUCCUAUUCACCAUGUCCUGGAAAUAAAAAGGUUCAGAUAAUUGAUGGUAAUUUCUCACCUAUUGUAGGAAAAGGUCUAAUAAAAAUCUCUGAGGGAAUAGAUCUUAAAUUUGUUCUCCAUGUUCCUAAACUUACUUGUAAUCUCUUGUCUGUUAGCAAAUUAUCUAGAGAUUCUAAUUGUUGUGUUAUCUUCUAGGAAUCCCAUUGUAUUUUUCAGGACCAAAGCUCGGGGAAGACGAUUGGCAGUGCUAGGAUGAUCAAUGGUCUCUAUUAUUUCGAGGGUAAUUUACCUAGUAAUAAAAUUGCUCAAGGACUAAGUAGUAUUAGUUCUCUUUAUGUUCGUGAUCAAAUAAUGGUUUGGCAUUGCAGAUUAGGUCAUCCUAGUUUCUCUUAUUUAAAACAUCUAUUUCUAGUGUUACUUCAAAAGGUUGAUCCUUUAUCAUUUCAAUGUGAAAGUUGUUUAUUGGCAAAGAGCCAACGAAAAACUUACAUUCCAAAACCCUACUAUGCAUCAAAACCAUUUUAUCUUUUUCACAGUGAUGUUUGGGGACCUUCAAAAGUAACCACAAUUUCAGGAAAAAAAUGGUUUGUGACCUUUAUAGACGACCAUACACGUCUCUGUUGGGUAUAUUUAAUGAGGGAAAAAUAUGAAGUCGAAAGGAUUUUUAAAGAUUUUAUAGAAUGAUUGAAAACCAAUUUCAAACAAAAAUCAGUAUUUUGAGAUUUGAUAAUGGGACUGAGUACUUUAAUAAAGUUUUGUAAACCUUUUCAAACGAGAAAGGAAUUUUACAUCAAUCCUCGUGUUCUGAUACCCCUGAACAGAAUGGAAUAGCUGAACGUAAAAAUAAACACUUGUUAGAAGUAGCACGGGCUAUGAUGUUUUACAUGAAUAUUCCAAAAUACUUAUGGGGGGAUGCCAUACUAAUUGCUUCAUAUCUAAUCAAUAGGAUGCUUACAAAAUUUUUGCAAUAUACCACUCCUUUGGAGUGCUUGAAAAAGGUAUUUCCAGAAUCUUGAAUUAAUUCUGAAUUACCCUUGAAAAUAUUUGGUUGCACUGCAUAUGUACACAUUCCAAAAAGGUCAAGAUCUAAGUUAGACCCAAGAGCAGAAAAAUGUGUUUUUGUAGGAUAUACUCCUAAUAAAAAGGGUUACAAAUGUUUUAAUCCCCUUACAAAAUGUUUUUACACAACUAUGGAUGUUUCCUUUAUGGAAAAUGUCUCAUAUUUUACCAAAAAUUUACUUCAGGGGGAGAAAUUAGUGGAACCAAAUUUUUGGGAAAUUGUUGAACCUUUGCCUAGUGCAAUUCUUGAUAUCUCUCUUGAAAAAAAAAAAAAAAGGAAACUAAGCCUACUGAAUCCGAAUCUGAAAUUGGUCUAUCAGAAGAAGAAAUACUACGAAUGAAAAAAAAUAGAAACAAUCUUGAGUCUGUGGUUUAUUCAAGGAAAAAAUUCCUUGGAAGAAGUAAAGACCAGUCGAUCAUCCCAGCACAUGGUCAACCGAAAACCCUGGGCAAUGGCUCUCUAAAUGUCUCAGGUAGCCCUCCUUCUAUUCCUACUCAUAUACAUGCUUCUUCUUCUUCUGUUACUGAUCUAAGUUUACCAUCACACUUUGGUCCAAGUCCAGAAAUAUCUGCACUAGAAACCGGUUUAGGAUUAGCCCCAAUUGUUCCUACACAGGACCUUGAUCUUGAUCUCCCUAUUGCUCUUAGAAAUGGAACCCGAGCCUGCACUAAACAUCUCAUUGCCAAAUAUAUCUCCUAUAGUAACCUUUCUGACAACUAUAGAGCAUUCACUACUAAUAUUUCAAAACUUGUGGUACCUAGAAAUAUUCAAGAAGCACUAGAUGAACCGAGUUGGAAAUUGGUAGUGUUUGAGGAAAUGAAUGCCUUAAAAAAGAAUGGCACUUGGGAGGUUGUAGAUUUACCAAGGGAAAAAAAAUUGUAUGAUGCAAAUGGGUGUUUACAAUAAAGAGUAAAGCUGAUGGAAGUGUUGAGAGAUACAAAGCCAGACUUGUGGCAAAGGGUUUUACUCAAACCUAUGGAAUAGACUACCAAGAGACUUUCGCCCCUAUAGCUAAAAUAAACUCGAUUAGAGUUUUGUUGUCCCUUGUAGUAAAUUCCAAUUGGCCCUUACACCAAUUGGAUGUUAAAAAUUCCUUUCUUAAUGGAGACCUAGAGGAGGAAGUGUUCUUGAGUCCUCCACUAGGUUUUGAAGAAAGUUUUGGAGUGGGGAAAGUGUGCAAAUUGAAGAAGUCUUUAUACGAACUUAAGCAGUCGCUUAGAGCUUGGUUUGAGAGCUUUGGCAAAGUAAUAAAGCAUUAUGGAUAUACUCAAAGUCAAGUUGAUCACAGGAUGUUCUACAAACAUUCCAAUGAAAGUAAAGUAGCCAUCUUAAUUGUGUAUGUUGACGAUAUUGUGUUAACUGGGGAUGAUUGCAAUGAACUAGAGAAGCUGAAGGAGAAACUUGCUGAGGAAUUUGAGAUUAAGGACCUAGGGGCAUUAAUAUACUUUCUUGGGAUAGAGUUUGCUAGGUCCAAAGAAGGUAUCUUUGUAAAUCAACGAAAGUAUGUUCUUGAUCUUCUUGAUGAGACAAGUAUGUUAGGAUGUAAGCCUGCUGAAACACCUAUAGAGCUUAAUGUAAAACUGCAACCUACAAAAGCCAAGAAUGUGAAGGACCGGGAUCGUUAUCAGAGACUUGUUGGGAGAUUGAUUUACCUAUCUCAUACACGCCCUGACAUAGCAUUCUCAAUGAGUAUGGUUAGUCAGUUUAUGCAUGCGCCUGGACCAGAGCAUUUUGAAGCUGUUUACAGGAUUCUAAGGUAUCUAAAGGAGACACCAGGUAGAGGUCUUCUGUUCAAGUCACGAGGACACCUACAAAUUGAAACCUACACCGAUUGGGCUGGAAGCAUAGUGGAUCGAAGGUCCACCUCUAGGUACUGUUCAUUUGUAGGUGGCAACUUGGUUAUGUGGCGAAGUAAAAAACGGAAUGUGGUUGCUAGAAGUAGUGCUGAGGCUAAGUUUAGAGUUGUAGCUCAUGGUAUUUGUGAGAUUAUGUGGAUAAGAAGAUUACUGGAAGAGUUAAAGAUGACAGGUCCAUCUCUUAUGAAGUUGUAUUGUGACAACAAGGCAGCAAUUUCAGUAGCUCACAAUCCGGUUCUCCAUGAUCGCACCAAACAUGUGGAAGUGGACAAGCAUUUCAUUAAAGAGAAGAUAGACAACGGAUUGGUUUGUAUGACCUAUAUCCCUACUGAGGAACAAGUGGUUGAUGUCUUCACCAAAGGACUACACAAGAUGCAAUUCGAUUUUCUGGUUGGCAAGUUGGCUAUGGAAGAUAUCUUUAAGCCAGCCUGAGGGUGAGUGUUGGAAAACCGAAACUGAUAUGGAAAGAAAUACUUUGUAAAGUUGUAAAUUAUUUAUUAGUUGUCAAUCAGUGUAUUUUUAGGAAAGUAAUUAUUAGGAGUUAUUUAUUAGUUGUCAAUCUUUGUAUUUUUAGGAAAGUAAUUGUUAGGAGUUAUUCUUUCCUUUUAAUCAGUGAUUUAGUUUCCUAAUUUGAAGUAUUUGUAUAUGCUGUAAACUCUAUAAAAGAAUAAUUUCAAUGAAAGAAAAUUAUUCCUGUGAAACCCUAUUCUUCAACUCAUUUAUUUUUUUUAUUUUUUUGUGAUAGGCUCUAGAUGUAAAAUACAUCAAGGUCAGAUGUAAAAUGGCACCUUUGACUAUACCAUUGUGAGUGAUCAUUGUCUAUAAUUGUAUUCCAACAAAAGGAGAAAAGAGUUCAUAUAUAAAUCAUAUUAUUCAGAGUCCAGUUUGUAUAUUUCACUGAAAUUCAGCAUAAGAUUCUCAAGCCUUGUGUCCAAGACGAUGAUUGGAAAUGGAUGAGUAUCCCCCCUUUUCAAUUGCACCGGUAAUGCCUUGUGCAGACUUGCCAUGCAAACCUUCACCAAUCUUCUCAUUCUUUCUAAUCUCUUCUUGAAUAUGCACAUCAUCCUCUUCGGUUAGUAACACAACUUGUUCUCCAUGUGGGCCUGCUAUAACUCCCUCCUUCACCUUCGAAUGUUCAUCCACAUCUAUUAUUUCUGUUUCUUGAACCAUCUUCUUUCCCUUCCCAAUUGCACCAGUAAUGCCUUUGGCAGCCUUACCAUGCAAACCUUCACCAAGCUUCUCAUUUUUUUGAAUCUCUUCAUGGAUAUGCUUAUCAUCUUCCAUGCAUAGUGCCAGAGCUUGUGCUCCAUGUGGUCCUGCCAGCAUCGCCUCCUUCACCUUCAAAUGUUCAUCGACAUUUACCAUUUCUGUUUCUUGAACCAUAUUCUUUUUCUUUCCAAUUGCGCUAGUGAUGCCUUGGGCAGACUUACCAUGCAAAUGACCUUGGCCAAACUUCUCGUUCUUUCUGAUCUCUUCUUGGAUAUGCACAUCAUCAUCCACAAACAGCACCACAGCCUGCUCUCCAUGUGGGCCUGGGACAAUGGCCUCUUUCACUGUCAAAUGCUCGUCGACCUUUAUGAUAUCUGUCUCCUGAACCAUCUUCUUCUUCCUCUUUUUGAGGAAGCAACAGAGAGCAACUGAGAGGAAUGCAAGGAAGAAUAGACCACCCAAUGAGACGAACACAAUGAUUAUGACUGUGGGAUGGCUGUCUGGUGAUGGUGAAGGUGGUGGUGGAAGUACAUGAGGUGGAGGUGGUGGGCGUGUAUGAGGUGGUGGUGGUGGGCGUGUAUGAGGAGGCGGUGGUGGUGGGUUUAUAUGAGGAGGUGGAGGUGGUGGACGUCUAUGAGGAGGUGGUGGAGGAGGAGAAAAAGGUGGGAAGUUGUAGUAAUUGAUCUGGGAAGAAGUCAUUGGGGUGAUAUGGAUAGUGGAAACUUUGAAGAAGAU